rnacentral:misc_RNA from 1 species
UUGAAACUAUCGGUAAGGGUUGUUGCUGGCCUCUCGGGGCACGUGCACACCUGAACCUUUAAAUCCACACACACCUGUGAACCCAAUGUAAGGGCCCGUAACAAGGCCCCUACGUCUUAUCACAAACCCUUUGCAGUUGCAAUCAGCGUCUGAAAAAAAUUAAUAAUUA